rnacentral:rRNA from 1 species
AUGGGUAGGAAACGCAAAAUACCAAAAAAAUUAGUGGUACCUACUGAACCAAUGGUUGAAGAACCACCCAAAAUCUAUCACACCAUUGAAGCUUUUUACUUGGAUCAUCUUCGAUCCCUAUGUGCUCAGGCUGAAACCCCAACUAGCUUAGUUGAGGGCAAAUCUUUAGAUGAGCAUGCUUGUUAUGUGCAACACCGCAUAUCUGGAAAAGGGAAACUUUUACUGGAUCAAAUUGAUCGUUUGCAGUGCUAUGCUUGGAAUUUAUGUGAAAUAUAUGAUUGUACUUGUUGUUCUAAAGACCCUAAGAAACACCGUCCUUACAAAUGUGAGUUUAGUGAUAAUGGAAUCGUAUCUUCGUAUACUAAGGGUGUUUAUAAUUACUAUGAUGUUCAACAAAUUGAAGAAUUUGUUGCUUUUAGGGGUACUUGUGAAAUUGCUUCUUUUAUUGAAGAGUGUGAUACUACUCUCUACAAAUAUGAAAAUUAG